UGCAUAAGGAGAAGUAAAGGGGAUUACUGGUUGUGGUUUACAAUCGUGCUGGUGGUGGUUGGGGUGAAGCUGGCGGCAGCCGUGGUGGAAACCGGUCACGGCUGGGGGUUUGGCUAGAUUCCGUUUGCAGGUCUUGCUUUUGCUUCUUGAGAGUAUGAUUAUAAAUCAAAUGAAUUCAGAAAGGCAAGACAAUCAUGUGGAUGUUAUCAUAUGCUAGAUGUGAUAGCACUAUUCCACUAGAAAAUUUUUGUUUAUCAAAAUGAUGGGUCGGUUCACUGUGGUAUUAAGCUUUUACGCAGCAGGAUAGAUGGGUGUGGAAGGAAGAUGAUACGGGUUGGUUCACUGUGGCUUCAGUGAAAACAGUGCUGUAUAAAGAAAGUUGUUCACCACAGCUCCCAUAAAAAUUUGAAUGGAAUUUGUGGGUGUUGUUAAAAGUUAACCUCUUCUAUUGGAGAGCAAACUUUUAUCACCUCCCGACAGCUGAUGAAUUGGUUAAAAGAAGGAUCCUAAAUGGCUCGAGCAGGCUUAUGCCUUUGUAUUUGCUGUUGCAGAAAGGUGAUGCUUUCUAUGAUAUUGAAACCGUUACUGAGGGUUUGAGCCAAAAACCGUCAAAACCGGACCAUGAACACCCCUACUAAAUUUGAUCACAUGUUUGUCUCUGGUGUUGUUAAUUUCAUGAUGAUAUUAUUUUAGUUAUUCAAUGUUGUAGAACUUCAGCACUUUGUUGUUUUGGAACAUGUUGACCCACACUACAAAUUGUUAACUGGUCUUAUGUGUAUAUGUUCGGCUUCUUCGGUUUGGGCUGAACGGAACCGAAAUGAUUAUAACAUAUAUGCAUGACCGAGGAAUUUGUAGUUUUGAGUUAGCCUAAGAGAAAUUUGAGAUUUCAUUAAAACUUGCACCGCUUAACAUGCUAUUGCACUGUAUAAAUUUUAAGAUUAAACUCAAAGGUUUGCUUUGUAGAUUCUUGACAAUAUUUGUAUAUUACUAAUUUGGAACAUUCUUAGACUGUGUUGUGCUAUUUUUAUUAAGGGUUGUACACUUUGUUGAUGAAUUGGGAUGUUGACGGAAAGCUAUCCUCACCGACUCUCGAUGAAUGCUUCAGGUUAUGUUGAUAUGGUUUGAGUAUUCAUACUCCUCGGAUGAAGAAGUUAUUCAACAUUUGUCAAGUGCACUUGUACUGAUGAUCCACACAAAAAGAUGGAUCCAAGAUUGGGACUCUCUACAUUAAGCAUGGCAGUGCCAAGGAAAAGGAAUGAAGGGCCGUGUCAAUAUAAUAGCUUUAUGAGAUUCGGUACUAUGGUAAGGAUGGAUUUUUUUUAAACUCUAUUUUUUGCGUAUGACUUAAAAUUUGAUAGGAGAUUUGGCUCAAUUGUAUCCUCUCUGUUGUUGAUGACAUACAAUACAAUUAAUAACAAAUGUGGGUCACCCUUUAUAUUAAGCUUUUGCAUAGUCAUGAAAUGUCCCAAUAGUUUAUAAAAUUACCUUACAAAUCAAUAGUGAGAUUUGGCAGGAUGGUAAUGAUGGUUAUGUUUAGUUGCACACUAUAAAGUCCACAAAAUUUAGAGUUAGAAGGCAACAUCUAUAAUUUCAUAUAUAAAGGAUCAGAUUACUUAUUUAACUUCAGCUUAGUUUUUUAAGUUCAGAGUGAUCGAAAGUUGCCAUCAUUGUAUCUUCUCGGCGGUAUUGUGAAGAACAUUGGGUGGGAUUGCAUUAAACACUUUUCGACCAAACUCCCCGAGGUUUUCGGUAAGACGUAUAGACAUGUUGAUUCUACACUACAUUUAAUGGGAUAUAUUUUCCGGACUUAGAAAGGAGUGUUUCCUCAUCAAACGCUUCACUCAAUAGAGAAAGAACUCGGUUUACAAUUAGUUAGGAACGGAUCAACUUUAACUUCAAUCAAACGCUUCAUUUGAAUUUG